rnacentral:rRNA from 1 species
UCGCGAAUUUUUCUCAAUGGACGCAAGUCUGAAGAAGCCAUGCCGCGUGCGGGACGAAGGCCCUCUGGGUUGUAAACCGCUGUCAGGGAAGGGGAAACGGUUGGUGUUAACAGCGCCAAUUUUGACUGCUUUCCAAAGGAAGCCCCGGCAAAACAUGUGCCAGCAGCCGCGGUAAUACAUGUGGGGCAAGCGUUGUUCGGAAUCACUGGGCAUAAAGGGUGCGUAGGCGGCGUGACGCGUCUUGGGUGAAAUCCUCCGGCCCAACCGGAGGUCUGCCUGAGAUACGGUCAUGCUGGAGUGCGUGAGGGGUGACUGGAACGCGUGGUGUAGCGGUGAAAUGCGUAGAUAUCACGCGGAAGGCCAACGGCGAAGGCAGGUCACUGGCACGCAACUGACGCUG